AAAAAGAAAAUGAAAAAAAAAAACUAAAACGUUUGUUUUUCAUGCUUUUUCAUGGUUUUGCCAUGCCUCUCUCUG
rnacentral:ribozyme from 1 species